rnacentral:tRNA from 2 species
GCCCAGAUGGUGGAAUGGUAGACACAAGGGACUUAAAAUCCCUUAGCUUUUUAGCUGUACGAGUUCAAGUCUCGUUCUGGGUA